rnacentral:rRNA from 1 species
UGCCAGCCGCCGCGGUAAUACAGAGGUGGCGAGCGUUGUUCGGAUUUACUGGGCGUAAAGCGCGCGUAGGCGGUAUGGUAAGUCAGAUGUGAAAUCCUAUGGCUCAACCAUAGAACUGCAUCCGAUACUGCCAAACUAGAGAUGAGUAGGGGAAAGUGGAAUUUUCGGUGUAGCGGUGAAAUGCGUAGAUAUCGAAAGGAACACCAGUAGCGAAGGCGACUUUCUGGACUCAUUCUGACGCUGAGGCGCGAAAGCUAGAGGAGCAAACAGGAUUAGAUA